GAUGAACGCUGGCGGCGUGCCUAAUACAUGCAAGUCGAACGGACAGGCCCUGCUCUUGCGGGGUGCUCGUGUGGCGCACGCGUGUGUAUAACGUGAGUAACACGCACCUGUCUUUGGGAUAUCUUCUGGAAACUGGGGAUAUUACCGGAUAGAAGCUCCUGCUGCACGGUGGGGGAUGGAAAGUUUCGGCGGUUGGGGAUGGACUCGCGGCUUAUCCGCUUGUUGGUGGGGUAGUGGCUUACCAAGGCUUAGACGGGUAGCCGGCCUGAGAGGGUGAACGGCGACAAGGGUCCUGAGAGACGGACCAGACUGCAACGGGAGGCAGCGGUGGAAAGUAUUGCGCAGCGGGGGGAAGCGAGAUACAGCAGCGCUGGGAGCGGAAUGACGGCCUAUUAGGUAAAAACCGAUUUGGCCGUUAACGUAGCGGGAUUGACGGUAAUUGAUAAGAAAGCACCGGCUAACUACGUG
rnacentral:rRNA from 1 species